rnacentral:misc_RNA from 1 species
AAGUCGUAACAAGGUUUCCGUAGGUGAACCUGCGGAAGGAUCAUUACCGAGAUAGGGUCCCCUCGGGGGCCCGACCUCCAACCCUUUGUCUAUUUAUCUUUGUUGCCUCGGCGGGACGUCGGGAGCCCUGUAAAAAGGGCCCUCGCCAUCGGCUCUCACGGGCCCUUGCGCGCCCGCCGGCGGAAUACACAUAAACCCUUUUAUUAACAAGUCUUCUGAGUUAUUAUUAUAAUACUUCAAAA